rnacentral:rRNA from 1 species
AACGAACGCUGGCGGCGUGCCUAACACAUGCAAGUCGAACGUGAUUGGAAGCUUGCUUCCAUGAAAGUGGCGCACGGGUGAGUAACGCGUAGAUAAUCUACCUGAUGAUCUGGGAUAACACUUCGAAAGGGGUGCUAAUACCGGAUAAGCCCACGAGCUCUUUGGAGCAUGCGGGGAAAGGGGGGGACCUUCGGGCCUUCCGUCAUCAGAUGAGUCUGCGUACCAUUAGCUAGUUGGUAGGGUAAAGGCCUACCAAGGCGACGAUGGUUAGCUGGUCUGAGAGGAUGAUCAGCCACACUGGAACUGAGACACGGUCCAGACUCCUACGGGAGGCAGCAGUGGGGAAUUUUGCGCAAUGGGGGCAACCCUGACGCAGCAACGCCGCGUGAGUGAUGAAGGCUCUUGGGUCGUAAAGCUCUGACAGAGGGAAAGAAAUGUGGGUGGCUAAUAUCCAUUCCACUUGACGGUACCCUCAAAGGAAGCACCGGCUAACUCCGUGCCAGCCGCCGCCGUAAUAC